GGCGAACGCUGGCGGCGUGCCUAAUACAUGCAAGUCGAGCGGACCGGAUUGGGGCUUGCCUUGAUUCGGUCAGCGGCGGACGGGUGGGUAACACGUGGGCAACCUGCCCGCAAGACCGGGAUAACUCCGGGAAACCGGAGCUAAUACCGGAUAACACCGAAGACCGCAUGGUCUUCGGUUGAAAGGCGGCCUUUGGGCUGUCACUUGCGGAUGGGCCCGCGGCGCAUUAGCUAGUUGGUGAGGUAACGGCUCACCAAGGCGACGAUGCGUAGCCGGCCUGAGAGGGUGACCGGCCACACUGGGACUGAGACACGGCCCAGACUCCUACGGGAGGCAGCAGUAGGGAAUCUUCCGCAAUGGGCGAAAGCCUGACGGAGCGACGCCGCGUGAGCGAAGAAGGCCUUCGGGUCGUAAAGCUCUGUUGUGAGGGACGAAGGAGCGUCGUUCGAAGAGGGCGGCGCGGUGACGGUACCUCACGAGAAAGCCCCGGCUAACUACGUG
rnacentral:rRNA from 1 species